UUAUAUUUAAUCUGAAAUAUAAGAUAUCUAGUCCGUGACUAUAAUUAUCAUAAUUCGAGAAGAAUACUUUUAUCACAGAUAAUACUUAGAAUGAACACGAUAUUUUAUCGGAUUUUGUGUCACAUAUUCUGAAAUACCGAAAAUACCGACUCUUAAAAAAGUAUCAUGUGGCGACAUCUCGACGAAACUAAUUUUACCGACCAUCAAUUCGGCUAACAAGUCGGAGCGACAUGUGACAAUCGAGAAUAAAAGUCGAAAGCAUUAGGACUGAAUAUUAUAAAUAACUUUAACAUGAAAUUGAUAUGACUUUGUUGUGAUUUCGCGAGGAGAUAAAAAAAAAUUGCAAACACGUGAUUUCACGAGAAUAAGAUAAGCGGGCAUGUUGCACAGCUAAUGAAACGAAAUACGUUCGCCUCAAAAGACAAUGAUAAAGAAAAGAAGAAUAUCUUUAUAUAACUGUACAGGCAAGAAAUUGAGAUUAAAAUCAGAUUUUUAAAUUUUAGCAGAAAUAGCAGAUAAUAAUAAGACAAAAUGUGCCCAGGGGAUGCAUCAUGAGAAUAAUAUCGAAGAAAAUUGGCAUAUGACAAGCUAUGGAAACAAAAGAAAGAUGUUAUCGAAGAAAUUAAAAUAACAAUCAAGGGCUUGAAAGGCGGAACAGAAGAUUUCGGUAGCAAAUACAAGGAUGAUAAGUUUAUUAUUAUUCUAAAAUGCUUAGAAACAUCUAUUUAGGACAGUAUCAUAACAAACGUAUACGUAAACAACACAUUAAAAUCAAGGAAUGGGAAACUAAAUUGCCUAUCGAUUGCCUAACGAAGUAAUGACAAAAUAAUAAUAUACCAACACAAGAGUUAAAUACUAUAUCUUUUAUAAAUGCCUUUCUCAUUUAUUUUGGACUAACGGACAACCGAAAGAGAGAGAAAUUUUCAAGACAGCAUUCAACGACAACGGCUCAAGAGAUGAUGGAAAAAGAUCAAGAUCUUUUUAUUCUAUUUUUUUGAGUUUCUGAAACCAAUUAUAUAGAAUGAAUUAAUAAAACUUAAUAACAGUUUAAAAAAAAAGAUUUGAAAAAAAUAAAAACAAGUGAAAAAUUUUGUUCGAUAUAUCGAUUCAAUAUGUACCGAAUCCGAAUGAAAAAUCUAUAUCUUAAUUUGGAAGAACAUUCGACACAUUGCAAAUAUAUAUUAUUAAAUUAAAAUAACAAUUUUUAUGUUUAUAAUUAUUCUUAUACAAUAUAUCGAAUCGUCGAAUACGUAAAAAAUAAUAAUAUAUAUUAAAAGAAAAUAAUAAAUUUCAGAAUAAAAUAUGGAAUCUAGUGUCACAAAAGAUAUAAUAGAAUAUAUAUAUAAAAAGAAUAAAAUAUGGAAUCACAAAAGAUAAUUUUUAAUAUAUCAAACUAUUUAAAAUAAAUGUCACAAAAAAAAGAGAAUAUUUAACUUUUAUAAAAAAUGCUAUUUAAAUAAAUUAAUAUGAAUUUA